UAGAGUUUGAUCCUGGCCCAGGUUGAUAGCUGGCGGCAGGCUUAACACAUGCAAGUCGAGCGGAGAUGAGGUGCUUGCACCUUAUCUUAGCGGCGGACGGGUGAGUAAUGCUUAGGAAUCUGCCUAUUAGUGGGGGACAACAUUCCGAAAGGAAUGCUAAUACCGCAUACGUCCUACGGGAGAAAGCAGGGGAUCUUCGGACCUUGCGCUAAUAGAUGAGCCUAAGUCGGAUUAGCUAGUUGGUGGGGUAAAGGCCUACCAAGGCGACGAUCUGUAGCGGGUCUGAGAGGAUGAUCCGCCACACUGGGACUGAGACACGGCCCAGACUCCUACGGGAGGCAGCAGUGGGGAAUAUUGGACAAUGGGGGGAACCCUGAUCCAGCCAUGCCGCGUGUGUGAAGAAGGCCUUAUGGUUGUAAAGCACUUUAAGCGAGGAGGAGGCUACUGAGACUAAUACUCUUGGAUAGUGGACGUUACUCGCAGAAUAAGCACCGGCUAACUCUGUGCCAGCAGCCGCGGUAAUACAGAGGGUGCGAGCGUUAAUCGGAUUUACUGGGCGUAAAGCGUGCGUAGGCGGCUUUUUAAGUCGGAUGUGAAAUCCCCGAGCUUAACUUGGGAAUUGCAUUCGAUACUGGGAAGCUAGAGUAUGGGAGAGGAUGGUAGAAUUCCAGGUGUAGCGGUGAAAUGCGUAGAGAUCUGGAGGAAUACCGAUGGCGAAGGCAGCCAUCUGGCCUAAUACUGACGCUGAGGUACGAAAGCAUGGGGAGCAAACAGGAUUAGAUACCCUGGUAGUC
rnacentral:rRNA from 1 species